UUGAACGCUGGCGGCAGGCCUAACACAUGCAAGUCGAGCGGAUGAAGGGAGCUUGCUCCUGGAUUCAGCGGCGGACGGGUGAGUAAUGCCUAGGAAUCUGCCUGGUAGUGGGGGAUAACGUCCGGAAACGGGCGCUAAUACCACAUACGUCCUGAGGGAGAAAGUGGGGGAUCUUCGGACCUCACGCUAUCAGAUGAGCCUAGGUCGGAUUAGCUAGUUGGUGGGGUAAAGGCCUACCAAGGCGACGAUCCGUAACUGGUCUGAGAGGAUGAUCAGUCACACUGGAACUGAGACACGGUCCAGACUCCUACGGGAGGCAGCAGUGGGGAAUAUUGGACAAUGGGCGAAAGCCUGAUCCAGCCAUGCCGCGUGUGUGAAGAAGGUCUUCGGAUUGUAAAGCACUUUAAGUUGGGAGGAAGGGCAGUAAGUUAAUACCUUGCUGUUUUGACGUUACCAACAGAAUAAGCACCGGCUAACUUCGUG
rnacentral:rRNA from 1 species